UCACUGUGAUGAUGGUGUUCCAACAUUCGCGGUUUCCACCAGAAUGACUUUAUCCAUGUUGGGUAGACCUUCCUUGGAUGUCUGAGUGA
ensembl:snoRNA SNORD14 Small nucleolar RNA SNORD14